CCCCCUCUUCGGGAGCGUCAUGACAACAAGGUGCUCCCAUGGGCUGUCGUCAUGCUCAUGUACGUGAGAUGUUGGGUUAAGUCCCCGCAACGAGCGCAACCCUUACCUUUAGUUGCCAGCGAGUCAUGUCGGGGACUCUAGGGGGACUGCCGGUACCAAACCGGAGGAAGGUGGGGAUGAUCGUCAAGUCAUCAUGGUCCUUACGUCUAGGGCUACACACGUGCUACAAUGGCAGGUACGGAGGGCUGCGAAGGGGCAACCUGGAGCCAAUCCCCAAAGCCUGCCUCAGUUCGGACUGUCGGCUGCAACUCGCCGGCAUGAAGCUGGAAUCGCUAGUAAUCGCGGAUCAGCUACGUCCGCGGUGAAUACGUUCUCCGGGCCUUGUACACACCGCCCGUCACGCCAUGGAAGCUGUGAGCGCCUUGGCAGUCAGGUGCCGGAA
rnacentral:rRNA from 1 species